GUACCCNUUAAAGCGUUGUCCGGAUUUAUUGGGCGUAAAGAGCGUGUAGGCGGCCACACAGGUCUGCUGUGAAAACUCGAGGCUCAACCUCGAGCUGUCGGUGGAAACCGUGUGGCUAGAGUCCGGAAGAGGAGAGUGGAAUUCCCGGUGUAGCGGUGAAAUGCGCAGAUAUCGGGAAGAACACCCGUGGCGAAGGCGGCUCUCUGGGACGGUACUGACGCUGAGACGCGAAAGCGUGGGGAGCGAACAGGAUUAGAUACCCUGGUAGUCCACGCCGUAAACGAUGGGUGCUAGGUGUGGGGGGUGUCGACUCCCUCCGUGCCGAAGCUAACGCAUUAAGCACCCCGCCUGGGGAGUACGGCCGCAAGGCUA
rnacentral:rRNA from 1 species